rnacentral:rRNA from 1 species
GAGUUUGAUCAUGGUUCAGGACGAACGCUGGCGGCGUGCCUAACACAUGCAAGUCGAACGGUUUCAAUGUUCGAACUUCGAAUUUCGAGCUUCGAACAUCGAGAUAGUGGCGGACGGGUGAGUAACGCGUGGGUAACCUACCCAACAGACCGGGGCAACACUUGGAAACGAGUGCUAAUACCGGAUAACCUAAGACACUGGCAUCAGAGACUUAGGAAAGGUGGCCUCUAUAUAAAAGCUACCGUUGUAGGAUGGACCCGCGUCUGAUUAGCUAGUUGGUGGGGUAACGGCCUACCAAGGCGACGAUCAGUAGCCGACCUGAGAGGGUGAACGGCCACACUGGGACUGAGACACGGCCCAGACUCCUACGGGAGGCAGCAGUGGGGAAUCUUCCGCAAUGGACGAAAGUCUGACGGAGCAACGCCGCGUGUAUGAUGAAGGCCUUCGGGUUGUAAAGUACUGUCUUUGGGGACGAAUGGUCACUAUGAAAAUAUUGUAGUGACAUGACGGUACCCAAGAAGAAAGCCCCGGCUAACUACGUGCCAGCAGCCGCGGUAAUACGUAGGGGGCAAGCGUUGUCCGGAAUCAUUGGGCGUAAAGGGCGCGUAGGCGGAUAGUUAAGUCCGAUGUGAAAUACCAGGGCUCAACCCUGGGGCUGCAUCGGAAACUGGUUAUCUUGAG